rnacentral:rRNA from 1 species
GACGGAGGGGGCUAGCGUUGUUCGGAAUUACUGGGCGUAAAGGGCGCGUAGGCGGCUCUUCAAGUUAGGCGUGAAAGCCCUGGGCUUAACCUAGGAAUUGCGUUUAAUACUGGAGAGCUAGAGAUUGGUAGAGGGAAAUGGAAUUCCUAGUGUAGAGGUGAAAUUCGUAGAUAUUAGGAAGAACACCAGAGGCGAAGGCGGUUUCCUGGGCCAACACUGACGCUGAGGCGCGAAAGCGUGGGGAGCAAACAGG